GGUAAAGGGGGGGCAGGUAAAGGAGGGAAGGUAAAGGUUAAAGGGAACAGGUAAAGGUAAAGGGGGGCAGGUAAAGGUUAAAGGGAUCAGGUAAAGGUAAUGGGGCAGGUAAACUCACUGUAUAUGGCUCCAUACACACAGCAGCCUGUCAGCAGGCACAGCAGGAAGAGGAAGCAACUGAGAACCACAGCAAACACACCCGCAGAGACACCGGCUAGUGCUGGGGGAGGAAGGACACGAUCACCAU